AGUGAACGCUGGCGGUAGGCCUAACACAUGCAAGUCGAACGGCAGCACAGUAAGAGCUUGCUCUUACGGGUGGUGAGUGGCGGACGGGUGACGAAUACAUCGGAAUCUACUUUUUCGUGGGGGAUAACGUAGGGAAACUUACGCUAAUACCGCAUACGACCUACGGGUGAAAGCAGGGGAUCUUCGGACCUUGCGCGAUUGAAUGAGCCGAUGUCGGAUUAGCUAGUUGGCGGGGUAAAGGCCCACCAAGGCGACGAUCCGUAGCUGGUCUGAGAGGAUGAUCAGCCACACUGGAACUGAGACACGGUCCAGACUCCUACGGGAGGCAGCAGUGGGGAAUAUUGGACAAUGGGCGCAAGCCUGAUCCAGCCAUACCGCGUGGGUGAAGAAGGCCUUCGGGUUGUAAAGCCCUUUUGUUGGGAAAGAAAAGCAGCAGGUUAAUACCCCGCUGUUCUGACGGUACCCAAAGAAUAAGCACCGGCUAACUUCGUG
rnacentral:rRNA from 1 species